rfam:Fukomys damarensis contig85606, whole genome shotgun sequence.
AGAAGGAUGAUCUGGCUGUGGCAUCUGUCACCCCAUUCAUCACCACAGUUGCUUUGGCUGAUCUAGUUGGUUCUGUGGUAAUGCCCUUCCUCCCUUACCACUCCAUGUGGUAUGACCUUCCUGGAUAGAGGAGGACUAUUCUUUGGUCAAGGUAUAUGAAUAGAUGUGGCCUCUGCUAGAACCUCUAAACAAGCUUUCAAGAAAGCAAUCUCAAAAGACAGAAGGGAGGCUGGGUAUGGUAGGGCAUGCCUAUAAUCCUAGCUCUC